rnacentral:misc_RNA from 1 species
UAAAAUGCGAUACGUGGUGCGAUCUGCACAAUGCGAGUCAUCGAGUUUUUGAAUGCAUCUUGCACCCCUUCUGGGGUAUGCCUGUGUGAGGGCACAACAACAAUCUCAAUGGGGUUUAUGCUCUUGAAGGCCGGCCGGUGCCUGUGACAAACAGAAAGUUCUGGCACCAUAUCCACCAUGCCUCACAUCAGACAAGACUACCCGCUGAACUUAA